UUAAAUUGAAGAGUUUGAUCAUGGCUCAGAUUGAACGCUGGCGGCAGGCCUAACACAUGCAAGUCGAACGGUAACAGGAAGCAGCUUGCUGCUUUGCUGACGAGUGGCGGACGGGUGAGUAAUGUCUGGGAAACUGCCUGAUGGAGGGGGAUAACUACUGGAAACGGUAGCUAAUACCGCAUAACGUCGCAAGACCAAAGAGGGGGACCUUCGGGCCUCUUGCCAUCGGAUGUGCCCAGAUGGGAUUAGCUAGUAGGUGGGGUAACGGCUCACCUAGGCGACGAUCCCUAGCUGGUCUGAGAGGAUGACCAGCCACACUGGAACUGAGACACGGUCCAGACUCCUACGGGAGGCAGCAGUGGGGAAUAUUGCACAAUGGGCGCAAGCCUGAUGCAGCCAUGCCGCGUGUAUGAAGAAGGCCUUCGGGUUGUAAAGUACUUUCAGCGGGGAGGAAGGGAGUAAAGUUAAUACCUUUACUCAUUGACGUUACCCGCAG
rnacentral:rRNA from 1 species